AACGAACGCUGGCGGCAGGCUUAACACAUGCAAGUCGAGCGCCCCGCAAGGGGAGCGGCAGACGGGUGAGUAACGCGUGGGAAUCUACCCAUCUCUACGGAAUGACGCAUGGAGACGUGUGCUAAUACCGUAUACGUCCUUAGGGAGAAAGAUUUAUCGGAGAUGGAUGAGCCCGCGUUGGAUUAGCUAGUUGGUGGGGUAAAGGCCUACCAAGGCGACGAUCCAUAGCUGGUCUGAGAGGAUGAUCAGCCACACUGGGACUGAGACACGGCCCAGACUCCUACGGGAGGCAGCAGUGGGGAAUAUUGGACAAUGGGCGCAAGCCUGAUCCAGCCAUGCCGCGUGAGUGAUGAAGGCCCUAGGGUUGUAAAGCUCUUUCACCGGUGAAGAUAAUGACGGUAACCGGAGAAGAAGCCCCGGCUAACUUCGUGCCAGCCGCCGCAGUAAGAC
rnacentral:rRNA from 1 species